CAGUCUGGAGAGUCCUCAGAAACCUGAAUAUAGCACUACCACAGGACCCAGCCAUCCCACUCCUUGGAAUAUACCCAAAUGGAAUUAAAGGGGUGAAAAAAGCCAUUUGCACCUCAAUAUUUGUUGCAGCUCAAUUCACAAUAGCUAAGACAUGGAAUCAACCUAAAUGUCCAUCAACAGAUGACUGGAUAAAGAAACUAUGGGAUAUGUACUCUAUGGAACACUAUACAGCAGUAAAAAACAAUGAAAUCCGGGCAUUUACAACAAAAUGGAGGAAGCUGGAAAACAUCAUGCUGGGUGAAAUAAGCCAGUCCAAAAGGGAUAAAUAUCACAUGUUCUCCCUGAUCGAUGGCAACUAAACGAGCACCUAAAAUGAUACCCACUGAAGUGAAAUGGACACUAUGAGAGACAAUGACAUGAGCAGCCCUUGGCUAGACUAUUGAGGAACAACUUACUAUUUUGUUCCUUUAGUAUUUUUGUUGUUGUUGUUGUUGCUCGAUUUGCUCUACACAAGACCACUGGUUGAACUCUGCAAUCAAUGCACAACCAUUCUUAAGCGUUUAAAAAUUAACAGAAAAUUGAUCUCUGUGGAACAUGGGAGUAGGAAUAAGAGAGGGAGGAGAUAUAUAGGAUGGCACAUACUCACUCAGACCUACCUCCAAUGGUGGAACUGGAAAUGUGCCAGGGGAUUUCAACUCAACCUUACCAAGGAGGCAGGUACCAAUGCCAGCACACUUGGUAAAGUGACAAAUAUAAAUACACAACUGAUCAAAAAGAUAGGGUAAGUGGCAAAGAGAUUACACAAAUAAGACCAGUGUAAGCAAAUAAUGAAAGAUAGAAUCAAAAGGGAGAGAAUGAUCCUGCGGGGGAAGCAGGUCACACAGCAGACUCAUAGAAUGGCAAAUGCCCAAAACAGCACUCCUGUCUCAGAAUCAACCCUUGGGACAUUCGGAUCUGACUAAAAGGUCCAUGAGAGUCUCGCAGGCAUGGAAAGCCAUGACACGGUAGCAAAAAAAACAAUCUAAAUGAAGGAUCCUGGUGAACAACACCCCAGCAGAAGGAUCAGGCCAUCAAGGAGAGAGGUGCCUUUCUCUGAAGGGAGGAAGGAACCUCCACUGUGAUAUGGCCUUGACUAAACAAAUUCAGAGUUGCUGAACUCAAGGGGCUUCCAUAGCCUAGACAGCUCAUAGCAAGAGUCUCGGGUGAUUGCUGACAUCAUAAAUAAGAGUGCCAAUUGUUAAAUCAACAAAGGGAGUCACUGGGUUCAUGCUCCCCACACAGGAUCUCUAUCCUUAAUAUGUUUAACUAUGAAACUCAAAAACAACACUACUAGUCGAACAAUACCCUAUACCUGGUUCGGUUGUGUGAGUGCAACCUGUUGAAAUCCCUGCUUAGUAUAUACUAAGUUGAUCUUCAAUAUAUGAAGGUGCUCACCAUGAGUGUGGAGAAAGUUUCAUGCAAGAAAAGAGUCCAGUUCCGAAUGAUUUCUGCCAAUCUGAAUAAACAUAAGUUGUAUUUAUUUAUUGAACAUUAUUGCCAUUACAGGAAUGAAUUGCAAAAGCUUCUUAAAAGAAACUGUGGAAAGCAAUGGGCUCUGAGUCAUGACAUCAGAGGAAGGAGGAAGAGCUGUAAGUGAAAUGUUUCCAGCUGUAUCUGUGCAAAAUAUUUGCAUUUCAUUUAUAGGAUGUGUCUUCUAGGAAAUUACCACUCCGGGAAUUCUGUUCUUAUGAGCAUAUUUCCUAUAGUGUAAUGUUCCAAAGGGAUGAAGACCACAUUAUCAGAAUGUGAUAAAAGUAUUAGAUAAUCAAGCAUACACAUCUAGGCUAGAGGUUGGAGAAAAACAACUUUUUUAUGUUUUAAAGAGUUUAUUUAUUUA